rnacentral:ncRNA from 1 species
UCUUCCUAUCCUAGUGAUGUACAAGUUGCUAAGGGUCGGAUUGUUCACCCGUAUUAGGGAUCGUGAGCUGGGUUUAGACCGUCGUGAGCCAGGUUUGUUUUAUCAUACUGGAUAUAGCAUCAUGAUAGUAGAUUGAUUUAGUACGAGAGGAACUGUUGAUUAUGGCCUCUGGUUAGCGAUUAUCGGAAACGGUAUGUCGCGCAGCUACGCCGUCUGGGAUAAUGGCUGAAAGCCUCUUAAGCCAGAAGCCCAUCUAGAAAGUGAUGCACGUGAUGUUGGACCGAUACGAAUAAUCAUACUCAAAAGGUCCGCUUCAUAGGUAACCCAAUGUAGAAGACAUUGUGUGAACGAAGGUACUGUAAGCAGUGGAGUGGCAUUACGUCCACGACCUGUUGAGGUUCAGCUUCGCUUCUAGGUUUCC